rnacentral:rRNA from 1 species
GAUGAACGCUGGCGGCGUGCCUAAUACAUGCAAGUCGAGCGAACAGAUAAGGAGCUUGCUCCUUUGACGUUAGCGGCGGACGGGUGAGUAACACGUGGGUAACCUACCUAUAAGACUGGAAUAACUCCGGGAAACCGGGGCUAAUGCCGGAUAACAUUUAGAACCGCAUGGUUCUAAGGUGAAAGAUGGUUUUGCUAUCACUUAUAGAUGGACCCGCGCCGUAUUAGCUAGUUGGUAAGGUAACGGCUUACCAAGGCAACGAUACGUAGCCGACCUGAGAGGGUGAUCGGCCACACUGGAACUGAGACACGGUCCAGACUCCUACGGGAGGCAGCAGUAGGGAAUCUUCCGCAAUGGGCGAAAGCCUGACGGAGCAACGCCGCGUGAGUGAUGAAGGUCUUCGGAUCGUAAAACUCUGUUAUUAGGGAAGAACAAAUGUGUAAGUAACUGUGCACGUCUUGACGGUACCUAAUCAGAAAGCCACGGCUAACUACGUG